rnacentral:rRNA from 1 species
AUUGAACGCUGGCGGCAUGCCUUACACAUGCAAGUCGAACGGCAGCGGGGACUUCGGUCCGCCGGCGAGUGGCGAACGGGUGAGUAAUGUAUCGGAACGUACCAUUGAGUGGGGGAUAACGUAGCGAAAGUUACGCUAAUACCGCAUAUUCUCUCCGGAGGAAAGCAGGGGACCGCAAGGCCUUGCGCUCUUUGAGCGGCCGAUAUCAGAUUAGCUAGUUGGUGAGGUAAAGGCUCACCAAGGCGACGAUCUGUAGCGGGCCUGAGAGGAUGAUCCGCCACACUGGAACUGAGACACGGUCCAGACUCCUACGGGAGGCAGCAGUGGGGAAUUUUGGACAAUGGGGGCAACCCUGAUCCAGCCAUGCCGCGUGAGUGAAGAAGGCCUUCGGGUUGUAAAGCUCUUUCGGCCGGGAAAAAAUCGCAUGGGCUAAUACCCUGUGUGGAUGAUGGUACCGGAAUAAGAAGCACCGGCUAACUACGUGCCAGCAGCCGCCGCCG